AUGGCCUGAUAUCAUCUGAUCUUGGAAGCUAAGCAGGGUCAUGCCUGGUUGGUACUUGUGUGGAAGAACAAUAGUGAAGACUCCAGCC
rnacentral:rRNA from 1 species